rnacentral:rRNA from 1 species
GGUUGUCGUCAGCUCGUGCCGUGAGAUGUUGGUUAAGUCCCGCAACGAGCGCAACCCUUAUUGCUAGUUACCAUCAUUGAUUGGGGACUCUAGCGAGACUGCCAGCGAUAAGCUGGAGGAAGGUGGGGAUGACGUCAAAUCAUCAUGCCCCUUAUGACCUGGGCUACAAACGUGAUACAAUGGCUGGAACAAAGGGAGGCGAAGGGGUGACCUGGAGCGAACCCAAAAAUACAGUCUCAGUUCGGAUUGAAGUCUGCAACUCGACUUCAUGAAGUCGGAAUCGCUAGUAAUCGCGGAUCAGAACGCCGCGGUGAAUACGUUCUCGGGGUUU